rnacentral:tRNA from 1 species
CGGGAUGUAGCGCAGCCUGGUAGCGCACCUGCUUCGGGAGCAGGGGGUCGCAAGUUCAAAUCUUGUCAUCCCGACCA